rnacentral:rRNA from 1 species
CCACUUCGGUGGGGAUUAGUGGCGAACGGGUGAGUAACACGUGGGCAAUCUGCCCUUCACUCUGGGACAAGCCCUGGAAACGGGGUCUAAUACCGGAUACCACUCUCACAGGCAUCUGUGGGGGUUGAAAGCUCCGGCGGUGAAGGAUGAGCCCGCGGCCUAUCAGCUUGUUGGUGAGGUAACGGCUCACCAAGGCGACGACGGGUAGCCGGCCUGAGAGGGCGACCGGCCACACUGGGACUGAGACACGGCCCAGACUCCUACGGGAGGCAGCAGUGGGGAAUAUUGCACAAUGGGCGAAAGCCUGAUGCAGCGACGCCGCGUGAGGGAUGACGGCCUUCGGGUUGUAAACCUCUUUCAGCAGGGAAGAAGCGAAAGUGACGGUACCUGCAGAAGAAGCGCCGGCUAACUACGUGCCAGCAGCCGCGGUAAUACGUAGGGCGCAAGCGUUGUCCGGAAUUAUUGGGCGUAAAGAGCUCGUAGGCGGCUUGUCACGUCGGGUGUGAAAGCCCGGGGCUUAACCCCGGGUCUGCAUUCGAUACGGGCUAGCUAGAGUGUGGUAGGGGAGAUCGGAAUUCCUGGUGUAGCGGUGAAAUGCGCAGAUAUCAGGAGGAACACCGGUGGCGAAGGCGGAUCUCUGGGCCAUUACUGACGCUGAGGAGCGAAAGCGUGGGGAGCGAACAGGAUUAGAUACCCUGGUAGUCCACGCCGUAAACGGU